AACGGCAACCCUCCGCCUUCGAUCCGACCCGAUCGACCCCCGCUCCGGCGUAUCGCUCCCGCCGCCGCCACAAAAUUGGGGCGGACGUCGGAUCUCAGCGGCGCCACCCGGCGGAGUCUCUGUUUUCUGUGGCAUUUCGUGCUGCUGGAUUCCUCCGCCCGGCCGCGCUAAUUUCCUGCCAUUGGGUGGAAGGGUGACUGUGGCGGAUCCCGGCUGAGUUCGCGACGGUGUAUCUGCGCUUCAGGUUCUGGUUGAUCUCGCGCGCGUUGGGAUGCAGAAUACUAGUACAUUCAAGACGGUGUAUGUGCCCUUUUGUUGCUCACAUUUACACUGAAAAAUAAUUACUUCCAUAACCUCGAAAACAUAGGGCAUGCUAUUUUACCUUCCCAUUUGCCAUCUUAAAGUUGAACGCCCUUGAUCAGUUCCUUAUUUUCUGUAUGCCGCUGAUUGAAAUGCCAGAGGAGUCCUGAUGCCAUCUUUCUUUUAAUUGAUUUUGGCUUUUGCUCUCAAGAAAGGAGCCUUUACUUAUUGAAAUACCGGCAAAAAGGGGGGCCGAAAUUUUGCCCAUUUAGGCAUAUCCAAUGUGAGAUUAUUUCCCACUUUCUAACUUUUGUAUUUAUUCCUGUAUGUAAUGUUCUUGCUUUCUUCAGGAAGAUUCUGUAUAGAUAUGGGUUUCAGGGAAAGAAGGGAAGCAUCUAUAAUUGAGCCAAAGGACUCUAAGCUGACUUAUCUAAAAUUCAUAUUUCUACUAUUAGUGUUUGUGCCAAUCAUGACGAUAAAAGAAAAAUAUGAACAGAAGAAAAUUUAGAAUUCUCUUGCCUUGCUAUUUGUGUCUGCAUUACCGGAAUCUAGGCAAUAUCUAGGCAAAAUUUAGAAUUCUUUUCAUCUUACCGGAAUCUAGGAAUUAUUUCAGAGGUAUCCACCAUCUGAGAAGGAAUGCCAGUCAUUUUCGCUGAUUUCGCAGGAUAGGUUACUGGACAUUUAGCUCUUUACAGGCUUCUCGUUUUAUGUUUAUCUCUGUUUUCCUGGAAAUUUUGUUUUUAACAAUUUUCUCUUGCUUUUUAUUUACAUAAGUUUAAUGCUUACAUGUUAUUAAAUCUUGCUCAAUGCUGUCACUCAGCAUAUGUAAAGACAAAGAUGAGGCCGGAGUGUGGUUUGUUGGGCUGAUUUCAUGCAGUCAUCAAAGAAAAUGGAGAACCGAAUCGACAAGUGAUACCAUUUCCUCUGCUGCAACUAGCCCAAGGACUUGUACGUGAUGGAGCUGUCCCUUGAGUUCUCUUUUCUGCAGCAAUGAUAUUGUCCACAAGGAUGGCAACAAAAACUACCGACUCCGUAGUCCGUUGUCCAUAUGAGAGUCCACCAAGGAAUGGCUUGUCGGAGGCCUUUUCUGAUGUUGCUUUGUAUGCAGUUUCUCCCAAGGGCUUCUUCCCAUCUGGUUCUAAAAAAAUGCAUAAUCGGUUCACUCUAUGUCUUCUGGAUACCCGGAUACCAUGCAUCGGCACCGGAGGUAUCCCAAUCAAUGCUCCUCUAGUCAGUUAUUCUGGUGUUGAUAGCUCAUCAAGUCAUGGUUCUGGUAAUGACGAUGGUGAUGCUUUUGAUGAUGCUUUAAUAUGGGGAGAAGAGACUAGGGACUAGGAAAGGAAUUCCUGGUGGUGGUAGUUCAAGGAUUGGGAGCUUCUCAGGUGCAGAUGUGCUUUGUCUUGGACCUAAACCCUUAGAGUUUGCUGUUUGUUUGGGCUUUUGCUUCUGCUUUUGCAGCUUUUUCACUUUGAUAAAAGAGCCACAAAAGCUUCUAAAUAGGGGAUUUUUGCUUCGUCUUUUGGCUUAUGAAUCAAUAUUGUUAUAUGAUGGUAUAAGACAAAAGCCGAAGAAAAAACACCUAGUUAAAAGUUCUUUUUUGUCUUUUUGCCAAAGUGGAAAAGCUGCAAAAGCACAAGCAAAGGCCCAAGCAAACAUGGCCAUGGCAGCUCUUGCCAUUUUUUUUACUGAUGCCGACAUGUUAUGGCCCGUAGACUGGGUUCGAGUCCUGGAUGGCAAUGGGUACCCAUUACCCACGUACCCUGCGGGUAAAAACCCUAUUAGGGUAAGGGUAUGGGACAAAAACAUACCCACGGGUAUAUAAA